AGUGAACGCUGGCGGUAUGCUUUACACAUGCAAGUCGAACGGCAGCGCAGUCUUCGCCCGUUCUUCGGGGUGCCAAGUGGUGAGCAGUUGAGCGAUACAUUGGCAUUUGUUUUUUAGAGGGCGACGAAGUACGGAUUAAUACCCCAUUAGACCUGACGGUCAAAGGGUGGGAGCUUCGGACCUCUCGCUAUUGGACCGUCCGAUGGCAGAUUAGCUAGUUGGUGGGGUAAAGGCCUACCAAGGCGACGAUCUGUAGCUGGUCUGAGAGGAUGACCAGCCACACUGGGACUGAGACACGGCCCAGACUCCUACGGGAGGCAGCAGUGGGGAAUAUUGGACAAUGGGCGAAAGCCUGAUCCAGCAAUGCCGCGUGUGUGAAGAAGGCCUUCGGGUUGUAAAGCACUUUUGGUGGGAAAGAAAAGGACUGUGUCAAUACCCCGGUGCGAUGACGGUACCCGAAGAAUAAGCACCGGCUAACUACGUG
rnacentral:rRNA from 1 species